GUCCACGCCGUAAACGAUGGGCACUAGAUGUGGGCGGUGUCGACUCCGUCCGUGUCGCAGCUAACGCAUUAAGUGCCCCGCCUGGGGAGUACGGCCGCAAGGCUAAAACUCAAAGGAAUUGACGGGGGCCCGCACAAGCAGCGGAGCAUGUGGUUUAAUUCGACGCAACGCGAAGAACCUUACCUGGGCUUGACAUGUCCGUGAAACCCUUGGAAACAAGGUCCCUCUUCGGAGCGCGGUCACAGGUGGUGCAUGGCUGUCGU
rnacentral:rRNA from 1 species